rnacentral:miRNA from 1 species
ACUGUUGCGUUUUUCAUACGUACGUAUACGCACGUAAAACUUUAAAUCCGUUUAAAUGUUACUUAUGAAAUAACCAAAUAAAUAAAGCAACAGAAUUUAGUGUUCCGCAAGUUUUAGUAUGCAUUUGUUAACUUAUUUGUACAAUAUUUAAAAAAUAGAAGGAUUCAAAGUUUUACGUGCGUGUACGUGCGUACGAAUAACGCAACAGU